UACGUAGGGGGCGAGCGUUGUCCGGAUUUAUUGGGCGUAAAGAGCGUGUAGGCGGCCAGGUAGGUCUGCUGUGAAAACCUCGAGGCUCAACCUCGAGACGUCGGCGGAAACCAUCUGGCUAGAGUCCGGAAGAGGAGAGUGGAAUUCCUGGUGUAGCGGUGAAAUGCGCAGAUAUCAGGAAGAACACCAAUGGCGAAGGCAGCUCUCUGGGACGGUACUGACGCUGAGACGCGAAAGCGUGGGGAGCGAACAGG
rnacentral:rRNA from 1 species